rnacentral:rRNA from 1 species
GAUGAACGCUAGCGGCAGGCUUAAUACAUGCAAGUCGUGGGGCAGCAGGUCUGUAGCAAUACAGAUGCUGGCGACCGGCAAACGGGUGCGUAACACGUACGCAACCUUCCCGUUACUGGGGAAUAGCCCAGGGGAACUUGGAUUAAUACCCCAUAUUAUAUUGGUUAGGCAUCUGACUGAUAUCAAAGCUUCGGCGGUAACGGAUGGGCGUGCGGUUGAUUAGGUAGUUGGCGGGGUAACGGCCCACCAAGACUACGAUCAAUAGCUGAUGUGAGAGCAUGAUCAGCCACACGGGCACUGAGACACGGGCCCGACUCCUACGGGAGGCAGCAGUAAGGAAUAUUGGGCAAUGGACGAAAGUCUGACCCAGCCAUGCCGCGUGAAGGAUGAAGGUCCUCUGGAUUGUAAACUUCUUUUAUCUGGGGCGAAAAUCGGUUAUUCUUAGCCGCUUGACAGUACCAGAUGAAUAAGCACCGGCUAACUCCGUGCCAGCAGCCGCGGUAACAC